rnacentral:rRNA from 1 species
GACGAACGCUGGCGGCGUGCUUAACACAUGCAAGUCGAACGGAAAGGCCCUGCUUUUGUGGGGUGCUCGAGUGGCGAACGGGUGAGUAACACGUGAGUAACCUGCCCUUGACUUUGGGAUAACUUCAGGAAACUGGGGCUAAUACCGGAUAGGAGCUCCUGCUGCAUGGUGGGGGUUGGAAAGUUUCGGCGGUUGGGGAUGGACUCGCGGCUUAUCAGCUUGUUGGUGGGGUAGUGGCUUACCAAGGCUUUGACGGGUAGCCGGCCUGGGAGGGUGACCGGCCACAUUGGGACUGAGAUGCGGCCCAGACUCCUACGGGAGGGAGCAGUGGGGAAUAUUGCACAAUGGGCGGAAGCCUGAUGCAGCAACGCCGCGUGCGGGAUGACGGCCUUCGGGUUGUAAACCGCUUUCGCCUGUGACGAAGCGUGAGUGACGGUAAUGGGUAAAGAAGCACCGGCUAACUACGUG